rnacentral:rRNA from 1 species
UACGUAGGGACCAAGCGUUGUUCGGAAUUACUGGGCGUAAAGGGCGCGUAGGCGGCCUUCUAAGUCGAACGUGAAAUCCCCGGGCUCAACCCGGGAACUGCGUCCGAUACUGGGAGGCUUGAAUCCGGGAGAGGGAUGUGGAAUUCCAGGUGUAGCGGUGAAAUGCGUAGAUAUCUGGAGGAACACCGGUGGCGAAGGCGGCAUCCUGGACCGGUAUUGACGCUGAGGCGCGAAAGCCAGGGGAGCAAACGGG